rnacentral:lncRNA from 1 species
ACAAUGAUAAUCAGAAAAAGCAGGAUUGUAAACAUGUUGCUUGUAAAAAGAAUGAAUAACAAAUAAAAUAUGAUGGACGCCAAAAAAAUAAAAUAUGACCAUAAUUAUAUGUAUUGUGUUUGAACAACAUUCUUGCCUGCGUCAGAACAAUCCAACCAUCAUUAAAAAUUCCGACGAUAAUAAGUCUUGUGUGCAUGAUAAAAAUCAAAUAACAAAGUUAAAUCAAAUACAACUUAUUGCAGCUUCACAAGUUCAGUAGUACAGAUGUUGAAAUGACAAUAUUUCUAGGUGUGGUAAUGAGCGUUAGAGUCACUCUGCAAAUAUAUCAAUUAUCAAUGGUGUCUAGGCACAUGCUGCUGCUAAAAUCCCCUAUAUCCUACCAAAAUUGCUAAAGAAAAACUCUUAAGAUAAUCAUAGAGAAAGAAAUUGCCAAGAUAACAUAGGCUACAAAAGAAAGUUAAGAUGCUUCGGCUCAUUAACUUUCAAAAAGUCAGAAUUGUCAAUAUAUCAAUCACUUUGAGAAUGAAAGUACUAAAGACAUCCACAGAAUACAAAUGAAGGUUGAGAUGUUUUAGCUCAUUAAAUUUAAAAAAGUCUAGAAUGUCAAUAUAGCAAUCACUUUGAGAAUAAACAUACUAAAGACAUUCCACUGAGAAUUCUUUACUCAUGUUACCACAUGCUUGACUAGUACAGUACGCGGGACAUGGAUUUGGCACAAACUACUCCAAGGAAUGAUUCCUAGAACUGAUUUCAGUAAUAUUCAAAGUUCCUUGCCGUCUCUGUGUCAAAUUUUCUUUCUUCUUUUCUGUUCCUUCUCUAUUGCUUAAAUCUCAGCGCCGACCAUCUUU